rnacentral:rRNA from 1 species
UACGGAGGGUGCGAGCGUUGUCCGGAAUCACUGGGCGUAAAGGGCGCGUAGGCGGCUCAUGAAGGCUGUGGUGAAAGUCCGGGGCUCAACCUCGGAUCGGCCGUGGCGACUCGUGGGCUGGAGCACUGUAGAGGCGGGUGGAAUUCCGGGUGUAGCGGUGGAAUGCGUAGAGAUCCGGAAGAACACCAGUGGCGAAGGCGGCUGCCUGGGCCUGGCCUGACGCUGAGGCGCGAAAGCGUGGGGAGCGAUCCGG